rnacentral:lncRNA from 1 species
CUACUUAAAAAUUCCGUAGUGGUAGCGGUGACUCCAAUCCUGAUAGACACGCGUAAUACUAAACGUAGGAUCGUGAAAUCCAAUGGCUCAGAUCGCUUCCGCAAUGCUCUGAUCCUGCCGAGUGCAGACGCGCACGCGUUCCCCUCUCUCCCGAGCGGUGCCUUUGAUCCUUCUUCCUCCUCGAUACCCUCCGUAUCAACAGCGGUCACCGAUCCAUCGUCCAGACGCCGCCGCCUUCAUCCUCCUUCCUCCCCAUCCCCCAUCCCCCAGCGCCCGCAUUCCACCUCCCCCUGCGGACGGCUUCUCCACCGCGCCGGCGCCGGAUCGGCGAGGCGGGAGCACGUGGCCGCGGGAAGAGCAGCAACCGGUCACCCCGCCGCCGCAGAACGAGGUCGCCUGGACGGCCGCCGCCGAGGCCUCCCGCUCCUCCAUCAUGUUCGGGUCGGCGGGCAGGCCGUGCUACAUGUUCUAUGCUUCACCGGCAAUGGCGGCCAAGCAGGUCCUUUUGUGAAUAUAACUAAUGUGAUUAAUGCCAAGUUGACAAACAAGCGUGCCGCGCGGUUAUCCCAAGUGAAAUCAAUGUUCCAAAAGACCGUGAGAACUGUCAACAGAUCAACAAGAACUCUACAUCUAAGAUUCAGAGAACCUCAACUAUUGGAUUUGGCUAUGAAAAUAACGCUUCUGUCAUUAGGCAUGUGCAGCUACCAUGUACAGACAAAGCUGAACUGUCGUACGGUACACCCAACAUGCAUGAAGAUGUUACUAAUCCCAGUACGGCUGAACUAAAAAGGAAGUGUGCUAGAGAGAGGUACCCAUUAUUGACAAAAGAGUUAAAGGAAGAUAGAAACAAGAAGAGACGUGAUUCCAGAAAGCGGAGGAAGGAUGAAUCAAUUGGUUUUUAUAAAUUAACACAUCUAUUGUUAUCAAAAUUUGGACUUUUUGAACACAACACCUUAUUAUUAUUGAAUUAAUUCAACCCUUUCAUAUCAUGGAUCUCAAGAUUCCACGACCAAAAUGGCUACUCCUACGUCCUCGUCUGUUUCAGGUUGAUGUGUAAUAUUUCACAUGUAGAAAUUUGUUAGGUGUUUUGUACCAAAUACGUUCUAAUCUAUUUGGAUAUGAGCAGCCCCGCUUGGAGAUAUUACAAAUGUACGUGUUGACUGCUUGCUUCUGGUAGUUUAACAAAUUUUCACUCAAUUUCUUUAAACUUAAUAAAAUUUCCCGUUGCAACGCACGGGCAUCUUACUUGUAUUUAUUUAAUCUGAAUUUCGUGGUAGUACUU